rnacentral:rRNA from 1 species
GAUGAACGCUGGCGGCGUGCUUAACACAUGCAAGUCGAACGAUGAAGCCCAGCUUGCUGGGUGGAUUAGUGGCGAACGGGUGAGUAACACGUGAGUAACCUGCCCCCGACUCUGGGAUAAGCCCGGGAAACUGGGUCUAAUACCGGAUAUGACCUCGCACCGCAUGGUGCGGGGUGGAAAGAUUUAUCGGUGGGGGAUGGACUCGCGGCCUAUCAGCUUGUUGGUGAGGUAAUGGCUCCCCAAGGCGACGACGGGUAGCCGGCCUGAGAGGGGGACCGGCCAAACUGGGACUGAGACACGGCCCAGACUCCGACGGGGGGCAGCAGUGGGGAAUAUUGCACAAUGGGCGAAAGCCUGAUGCAGCGACGCCGCGUGAGGGAUGACGGCCUUCGGGUUGUAAACCUCUUUCAGUAGGGAAGAAGCGAAAGUGACGGUACCUGCAGAAGAAGCGCCGGCUAACUACGUGCCAGCAGCCGCCGUAA